rnacentral:rRNA from 1 species
GCUAACGCCGUGCCAGCAGCCGCGGUAAUACGGAGGUUCCAAGCGUUAUCCGGAAUCAUUGGGUUUAAAGGGUCCGUAGGCGGCUUAAUAAGUCAGCGGUGAAAGUUUGCAGCUUAACUGUAAAAUUGCCAUUGAUACUGUUAGGCUUGAAUUAUUGUGAAGUAACUAGAAUAUGUAGUGUAGCGGUGAAAUGCUUAGAUAUUACAUGGAAUACCAAUUGCGAAGGCAGGUUACUAACAAUGGAUUGACGCUGAUGGACGAAAGCGUGGGUAGCGAACAGGAUUAGAUACCCCGGUAGUC